GCACAAGCGGUGGAGCAUGUGGUUCAAUUCGAAGCAACGCGCAGAACCUUACCAGCCCUUGACAUGGCAGGACGGUUCCCAGAGAUGGGUUCCUUCUCGCAAGAGACUUGCACACAGGUGCUGCAUGGCUGUCGUCAGCUCGUGUCGUGAGAUGUUGGGUUAAGUCCCGCAACGAGCGCAACCCUUGUCCGUAGUUGCCAGCAUUCAGUUGGGCACUCUACGGAGACCGCCGGUGACAAAUCGGAGGAAGGUGGGGACGACGUCAAGUCAUCAUGGCCCUUAUGACCAGGGCUACACACGUGCUACAAUGGCCGGUACAAAGGGUCGCCAACCCGCGAGGGGGAGCUAAUCCCAGAAAGCCGGUCGUAGUCCAGAUCGGAGUCUGCAACUCGACUCCGUGAAGCCGGAAUCGCUAGUAAUCGCGAAUCAGCACUGUCGCGGUGAAUACGUUCCCGGGC
rnacentral:rRNA from 1 species